CCUACGUGGGGCUGCAGUGGGGAAUCUUGGGCAAUGGACGCAAGUCUGACCCAGCAACGCCGCGUGAAGGAAGAAGGCUUUCGGGUUGUAAACUUCUUUUAAGGGGGAAGAGCCGAAGACGGUACCCCUUGAAUAAGCCACGGCUAAAUACGUGCCAGCAGCCGCGGUAAUACGUAGGUGGCAAGCGGUGGCCGGAUUUACUGGGUGUAAAUGGCGUGCCUCCGGGGAGAAAAGUCAGAUGUGAAAUCGACGGGCUCAAACCGUGAACUGCAUUUGAAACUGUUUCCCUUGAGUGUCGGAGGGGUAAGCGGAAUUCCUUGUGUAGCGGUGAAAUGCGUAGAUAUAAGGAAGAACACCAGUGGCGAAGGCGGAUUACUGGACGAUAACUGACGGUGAGGCGCGAAAGCGUGGGGAGCAAACAGGAUUAGAUACCCCAGUAGUC
rnacentral:rRNA from 1 species